GCCCCGCCCCCACGGCCACGCCCCCCAGCCGGGGCGGCGGAGGGCUGCACCAGCCCCAACUCCGGGGGCUCCCCGCUUCUUUCGGACGGCCCCCCCCCGGGGUGCUGCCUGGAGCCCAGCCUGGGAGGGAGCUCCCCAGCUGCCUUCCAGGCCUGGGAAGGGGCCAGGCGCACAGCCCUCAUUACACCGCAAGCCCCUUGGCUCCCUGCUUCAGAGCAACCACUGGAACUGCCCGCUGCUGGGCAGGAGGAGGAGGAGGAUUGCUGGCCCUAAGCAAGGCCCCCUCCAGGAAUAACACCAACUACCCCUUGGCGUGCCUUGCAGGGGCUUUGUGCGCCAAGCAGAGGGUGGGGAAGGAGGCCCCCAACUCAACCCACCCUUUCCCAGGGCAGGUGGUUCCACCCAUGCUUCUCCGCUUUCUUCUUCCUUCAGCUUUCCUACGCUUGGCAGGGCAACUCUGCACCACACCUGCGGAGAAACCAGCUGGGCAGCUUCUCCGCGUCUGGGCUGGGAAGGAGCACCCGGGAGGUGGGAAGAGCAACGCAGCAUGUCCAGGAGUCCCACCAGCAGGUAAUAAAGCUGAGAUCUCGAACACAGCCAAUCUGAGUCCUACCAGAAAGUACCUGCCUACCUGUGCUGUGCUGUGCUGUCUCUAAGAUGCAGCUCCUUUUUGCAGAAGGAAUCCACUCUCCUGCAUGUUACAUAUUCUCAAGUGAUUGGUCUGCCCAGAGCUGUGGAUGGGAUGCUUGCAGUUUUGCUACUUCAUCACUGGAGGGAGCAAAGAGCUGUUGUUUCAUGGCUGGCCCAGACUUCUAGACAGGAGAGGAUCUGGCAGAAAAGCUGGGGGCAUUUCCUACCUUGAAUUCACCAGACACUUCCCUCCUGGCAGACUAUUGGCUUCCACUUUAAUAAGUCUCUAGACUCUAGAGGCUUAACUCCUUAGAUAUGAAGGCUGUUUCUCCAGGAAGGCAGGGCAUCCUUUGAGCCUAUCCAUGCUUUGGAGAUGAUUUUUUGGGAGGUAGCAGCUUUUAAAAUUGGAAGAUAGAUUGAUAGAUAGAUAGUUUUUGGUCAGCUGAUCUCAGUGUAGGGACCUAUGUGAAUGCCACUGACUUCAGCUGCUGCUAGCUGUGGAAUCAGAAAAAAAAAAUGCCUUAAACUUUGAUCAUACGAGUUAUAAGAUGACAUAACUGCUUUGUGGGGAAUUGCUGGCUCUGUAUAGUAGAACAGAUGAGGGAAAGUGUUUGUUCUUUGUAACUCCCCUGCAACUGCUUUGCUCACUGUGGCCUUGAAGGUAGCAGAAAAGAAAAAAAAAAAAAAAGUAUGUACAACUCUGAUUUCCAGGUGCAAGAAGGAGGUUCGUGAACUAACCUUGUCUUCCCCAUAAUUCCCAUCCUGAUAACAGCCAAGCAGUAAUGAGGUAGUGUUUGUAGCUGCUUUUUCUAGCAAAUUCGACUAUAUGAUCACGUGAGUUGUAAGCGACUGUUAAAAAGUAUAUAAGCCUCCUGAUUUUGCUCGGUGUGGGGGGGGGACCCUUCCAAGUGCUUGGGAAAUCCAUGUCACUUUGGAGUCCCCCCUACAGCUGUAGCUUUCAUUUAAAUAAAAGCUUCUGCUGACCUGACCCAAAAGUAUACUGCGUGUGUUUCCACGACAUAGCUAAUAGCAGAACCUUUAAGAGACAUAUUGGUUAACAUUGUAUUUGUCUUACAAUGUGUUAGUCCAGUUCUGUUCAAAUGCAGGUGGAAAACUGACUUCCUAUGCAAUUAUCUGGGGGGAGGGUGUGAAAGUAUGUUAUCUUGGAAACGUAGGGUUUCAAAUGGGAGGCAUCUGAGGACCCUACUGGGCCAGGAGGGACUCUGUGGUGAAGCAGAACAAACAAGACUAGACAACAGAACCUUGCAAGGGUAGCACUACUGUAAGUUAUGCUGUAUUUAGGUUCACAUACAGGAUAGCAGGGUGUUGGCACAUAGCAAGCCUCAUCAAGGUACAACAGAGGGAGGUGAGGUUUAGGGUGUGGGAACAAAGCCCUUCUAGGUAAGGACGACAGAGUUGCAGUCCUGCAGCUGGAGAAACUGCUGCCCCUCCAUUGCAAAUAGGAGAAAGUGGAGGGUUGUUAACUUCACAGGCGUGCAGGAAAAAUAGCAUGAAAUAGGAGAAAGAAAGAUGUCAAGCAGCAUUAACUGGCUUGCUACUGUACAGUCUCACACCGCUUGGAUGAAGUCUUGACUCAGAGUCUUGUGAUUUGAAAGAAGAAAUGGUCACGUUUUGAUCACAGAUUGGUGGGAGGGGAGAAUUUGAUAAUGGUCCUCACCUAGGUGUGGUGUAGGGGAUAGUGAUAAGCUCUUCUCCUUAGCUCCAGGGUUUAGGGCAAGGAGUAACAAUCUUCAGUAGCAAGUAAACUAUAGAGAAGUGUAGGUUGGAUACCUGGAAGAUCCUUCUCACUUGGAGGGUGGUUGGAUGAGUGGUUUAGAUGGGGAUGACCCUGCCCAAAGCAGGGGGUUGGACUCAGUGUGACCUGAGCUUCCUGCUUGCCUUACUCUUUCAUUAUUCUAUUAUCAAGGAAAGGGGUGAACAUGUAAAGAGAAGCUGGAGAUCACGAAUUCAAACUUACUUGGGAUGUUCAAAAUCCUGGCAAACAAAUUUCACCAAGCAUCACGUCAGAUCUCGUGAUUUCAAACCAAUCUCUUGAUUUAGCCAGUUGCUAAAUAUCCUCUCUUUAGGUAGGUGCCUACAGACUAAUUAAGUCAUCCUUUGAUUAACAAAAAAAAAAAAAAAAAAUCCAACAAAAAACCUGAGCUUGCUGAGUUAUGUUGAAACUAGUUCUUCUGCCCCCAACUCAUUCCCAUGCUGCUUCUUUAUACCCUGGUCUGUUUCUCAGACAUCUGGUGUUAAUGCUCCCAAAAGGGAUGUUCUCUUCGGAAAGGAUCUGGUUAAUGCCAUAUGUAGCACCUUAUUCUUUCUCUUCUUAGAUGCAGCCCACAUAAGCAUUGGGUUCAUCUGGAGACUGGCUAUAGCCUGGCCUCUCUCCCAAGGCUUAUGUGGAUCUUCCUCCCAUUACUUAUCUGAAUGUCUGUGCUAAACCCUCCAAUGAUUAGAUUGGGAGGAGCACAGGUUGUCACCCUCUCAUCCUCAAGUGCAUCCCUACUUGCCAUGUCCCCUCUUGCAUGGUGGGGAUGCCAGAGGGGGAAUUACAGGACCAAGUACCUGCCAAUUCCUACCUCCCUGACUUUUUCUGAGCACCCACUUUUAUUUUGGUGAAUCUCACUGCAGUGAGAGAUGCCAAUGUGGAAGUUCUAGACCCAACUUGGCAGGGAUCUAGUAUAGGGUUUUUCCCCCCAGUAGUUCUAAAAAUGGCAAACAAAACACAGGAGGGAUGACACCCUAGAAAGGGAAGAUGGUAAAAUAGUAAAGAUUUUACCUUUUGAUGGGAGAGCCCCUGGAGGGGAUUUGAGAGUCAUAGCAGACAGAUGGGUAAACCAGUAGGUUUUUCCAGAAGAGGAUUAGGGGUAUAAGCUACCUGUUGACUUUUUGGGGGGAGGAAGCAGCUUGUGCUGUGCUGUGGUCAAGAAGUCCUAAUCUUGCUUGUUUGGGGAUCCCCACCCUUUCUCCCCAGAGGUGAGUGCAGCCACAGACGGAGGUCCAACCUUGAUGGACCUUACUGUGAUGCAGUCUAGCAAACUAGGAUUAGAUGAGGGCUUGAAGCAGCCUGUGCUGAAGACUCUCUGAUGGGCCAGCCACUACAACCUGGGGGGAGCUCAUGUUUGAAGAUGCUGAGGUUCUCUGUACAACAUACCUAGUCACCAGCUCCUCCAGGGCUGUGGCACUGCUUUCCCUGGCACACAUCAGUUUUGACAGGAGGUUGUCAACAUGAUUUCAGCAGAUAUUUCAAUGGGGUAGGUGGGGAAAAAUAAGAGGUUGUAGCAUGUGUAGUGACAUUCUUGUCUCUCAGCAACAGUGGGAAAUGAGAGAUCUGAACAAUCUGCCCAAAAUUUUGGGUAGAGAAGCCUGACUUUCAUGUACAAGACCCCUUUG